GGAUGAGCUGUGUGACUCCAACACCUGCAGACAAUCAGUUCAUCAAGCAGUGAUUGGCUGAAAGCAGCAAUUAACACCAACUCACUGCUUCACAUACAGAGCAAGCAGCUUCUCCAGAGUUGGGUUGCUUUUGCUACCAUCUGAAGUGCGUGCAGCAGAAACUCCAUGCAAAUCUUGCUGAUUUACUUAGUUCAAAUAGAGCUUGGUGGUGGCUUCUAGGUUGAAGAAGGACUCAUCUCGUUCCAGUCGUUCUCUGAGAACUAAUGCGUUUCGAGCUCUAACCAGACGAGGGCGCCACUGCGUCAGCGACAGAGGAAGAGCCAGCUGAUAUGAAAGGCUUUGCAGAUUGUUUUGACGUCCGUCAUGGAGAAGCGGGCCGAGUUUCAAAGAUAGUGACGUCACGUGCAAAGGGCCAAUAUGAUGAAUCGCAAACUGCGGUAGCUCUUCGAGCCUCCCGAACCUUGCUACAGCUACAAAAUGUUAAGUAUUUUGCUGGGCUUUCAUGAGACUGAUCAAAAUUUAUUGGAAAAGUACCCAAGAGGCUCAAGGGAACUCUGGAGAAGCUGCAGGGGUCUCCAGCUCAGUGUACGAGGAUAUUUGCACUAGAAACUAGACCAAAAACACUUGAAUCUACUGACGUUUCUGGUGUCCAGUUUAUUUCCAUCUCACUGACACACUUCACAGAGUCCAGCUCUUUCAGACAAAAUCCUGGCAACUAAAACAAGGAUUCACUGAGUUUAUUUGGGUUUUUUUCUGAGGGAUCUUGAUCUCAGUGAGACUUCCUAAAUUAACAGAACUUCAGUGGAGCCACAUGAAGAAGACGCAGGUGCCUUUGAACACCCAGCCGGUGCUACAUUUAGCCCAUGCUGACUGUUUUUGCUCUAAUGGAUGUUAUUUUGUUCCUUUCCUUUCCUUGAGGACCACAAUGGAAAUAAAUAUUUGCACAUUUUUUAA